rnacentral:rRNA from 1 species
GACGAACGCUGGCGGCGUGCUUAACACAUGCAAGUCGAACGGAAAGGCCCUGCUUUUGUGGGGUGCUCGAGUGGCGAACGGGUGAGUAACACGUGAGUAACCUGCCCUUGACUUUGGGAUAACUUCAGGAAACUGGGGCUAAUACCGGAUAGGAGCUCCUGCUGCAUGGUGGGGGUUGGAAAGUUUCGGCGGUUGGGGAUGGACUCGCGGCUUAUCAGCUUGUUGGUGGGGUAGUGGCUUACCAAGGCUUUGACGGGUAGCCGGCCUGAGAGGGUGACCGGGCACAUUGGGAAUGAAAUACCGCCCCGACUCCCACGGGGGGCAGCAGGGGGGAAUUUUGCCAAAGUGGGCGGAGCCCGAAUCCGCCACCGCCGGGUGGGGGAGACCGCCUUCCGGUUGUAAACCCCUUUCCCCUUGGAAGAAGGGUUGGGGGACGUUAUUGGGAAAAGAAGCCCCGGCUAACUACGUG